rnacentral:rRNA from 1 species
CGAACGCUGGCGGCGUGCCUAAUACAUGCAAGUCGAACGCUUCUUUCCUCCCGAGUGCUUGCACUCAAUUGGAAAGAGGAGUGGCGGACGGGUGAGUAACACGUGGGUAACCUACCCAUCAGAGGGGGAUAACACUUGGAAACAGGUGCUAAUACCGCAUAACAGUUUAUGCCGCAUGGCAUAAGAGUGAAAGGCGCUUUCGGGUGUCGCUGAUGGAUGGACCCGCGGUGCAUUAGCUAGUUGGUGAGGUAACGGCUCACCAAGGCCACGAUGCAUAGCCGACCUGAGAGGGUGAUCGGCCACACUGGGACUGAGACACGGCCCAGACUCCUACGGGAGGCAGCAGUAGGGAAUCUUCGGCAAUGGACGAAAGUCUGACCGAGCAACGCCGCGGGAGGGAAGAAGGUUUUCGGAUCGUAAAACUCUGUUGUUAGAGAAGAACAAGGACGUUAGUAACUGAACGUCCCCUGACGGUAUCUAACCAGAAAGCCACGGCUAACUACGUGC